rnacentral:rRNA from 1 species
GUCGAACGGCAGCAUGAUCUAGCUUGCUAGAUUGAUGGCGAGUGGCGAACGGGUGAGUAAUACAUCGGAACGUGCCCUGUAGUGGGGGAUAACUAGUCGAAAGAUUAGCUAAUACCGCAUACGACCUGAGGGUGAAAGUGGGGGACCGCAAGGCCUCAUGCUAUAGGAGCGGCCGAUGUCUGAUUAGCUAGUUGGUGGGGUAAAGGCCCACCAAGGCGACGAUCAGUAGCUGGUCUGAGAGGACGAUCAGCCACACUGGGACUGAGACACGGCCCAGACUCCUACGGGAGGCAGCAGUGGGGAAUUUUGGACAAUGGGCGAAAGCCUGAUCCAGCAAUGCCGCGUGUGUGAAGAAGGCCUUCGGGUUGUAAAGCACUUUUGUCCGGAAAGAAAUGGCUCUGGUUAAUACCUGGGGUCGAUGACGGUACCGGAAGAAUAAGGACCGGCUAACUACGUGCCAGCAGCCGCGGUAAUACGUAGGGUCCAAGCGUUAAUCGGAAUUACUGGGCGUAAAGCGUGCGCAGGCGGUUGUGCAAGACCGAUGUGAAAUCCCCGAGCUUAACUUGGGAAUUGCAUUGGUGACUGCACGGCUAGAGUGUGUCAGAGGGGGGUAGAAUUCCACGUGUAGCAGUGAAAUGCGUAGGGAUGUGGAGGAAUACCGAUGGCGAAGGCAGCCCCCUGGGAUAACACUGACGCUCAUGCACGAAAGCGUGGGGAGCAAACAGGAUUAGAUACCCUGGUAGUCCACGCCCUAAACGAUGUCAACU